CAGAGAGGAGGACAGGAGGUCAGAGAGGAGAGGAGAUCAGAGAGGAGGACAGGAGAUCAGAGAGGAGGACAGGAGAUCAGAGAGGAGGACAGGUGGUCAGAGAGGAGGACAGGAGGUCAGAGAGGAGGACAGGAGAUCAGAGAGGAGGACAGGUGGUCACAAAGAGGAGGACAGGAGAUCAGAGAGGAGGACAGGUGGUCACAAAGAGGAGGACAGGAGAUCAGAGAGGAGGACAGGAGAUCAGAGAGGAGGACAGGAGAUCAGAGAGGAGGACAGGAGGUCAGAGAGGAGGACAGGAGGUCAGAGAGGAGGACAGGAGAUCAGAGAGGAGGACAGGAGGUCAGAGAGGAGGACAGGAGAUCAGAGAGGAGAGGAGGACAGAAGAUCAGAG
rnacentral:lncRNA from 1 species